GCUCAGUACCCGGUUAGUAUACAGUGUGCUGGCUGUGUGCACCAUACGCUGUGUAUACUGACAUGGCUCAGUACCCGGUUAGUAUACAGUGUGGUGGCUGUGUGCACCAUACGCUGUGUAUACUGACAUGGCUCAGUACUCGGUUAGUAUACAGUGUGCUCCAUACACUGUGUAUACUGACAUGGCUCAGUACCCGGUUAGUAUACAGUGUGGUGGCUGUGUGCUCCAU